rnacentral:rRNA from 1 species
AUUGAACGCUGGCGGCAUGCCUUACACAUGCAAGUCGAACGGUAACAGGUCUUCGGAUGCUGACGAGUGGCGAACGGGUGAGUAAUACAUCGGAACGUGCCCGAGAGUGGGGGAUAACGAGGCGAAAGCUUUGCUAAUACCGCAUACGAUCUCAGGAUGAAAGCAGGGGACCGCAAGGCCUUGCGCUCACGGAGCGGCCGAUGGCAGAUUGGGUAGUUGGUGGGAUAAAAGCUUACCAAGCCGACGAUCUGUAGCUGGUCUGAGAGGACGACCAGCCACACUGGGACUGAGACACAGCCCAGACUCCUACGGGAGGCAGCAGUGGGGAAUUUUGGACAAUGGGCGCGAGCCUGAUCCAGCCAUGCCGCGUGCAGGAUGAAGGCCUUCGGGUUGUAAACUGCUUUUGUACGGAACGAAAAGACUUCUUCUAAUAAAGGGGGUCCAUGACGGUACCGUAAGAAUAAGCACCGGCUAACUACGUGCCAGCAGCCGCCGCAGUAA